GCUUGCACCUUAGCUUAGCGGCGGACGGGUGAGUAAUGCUUAGGAAUCUGCCUAUUAGUGGGGGACAACAUUCCGAAAGGAAUGCUAAUACCGCAUACGCCCUACGGGGGAAAGCAGGGGAUCUUCGGACCUUGCGCUAAUAGAUGAGCCUAAGUCGGAUUAGCUAGUUGGUGGGGUAAAGGCCUACCAAGGCGACGAUCUGUAGCGGGUCUGAGAGGAUGAUCCGCCACACUGGGACUGAGACACGGCCCAGACUCCUACGGGAGGCAGCAGUGGGGAAUAUUGGACAAUGGGCGGAAGCCUGAUCCAGCCAUGCCGCGUGUGUGAAGAAGGCCUUUUGGUUGUAAAGCACUUUAAGCGAGGAGGAGGCUAC
rnacentral:rRNA from 1 species